UACUAUUUGAAAUACUGUUUGUCUAUGGUCAGUUCAGUUAAUCUUUAGUGCUUUUACAAUGUAAAUUGUGUCAAAGCAGCAUAACAUGGAUGUUUUAGUAAUUUGAAAGUGCUUCAGUCCAAUUUUCACAGUUAAAGCUUUAACUGUUCAAUUGCAACUCAAUUGCAGUUGAGUGCAAUUUAGAUGUCACUUAGGAAACCCCAAACAAUGAAAAACAAGUUAAACCAAGCAAGUCAAUGGCGAGGAACAAACUUUAGAAAUUAAUAAAAGUGAGAGAAAAAAACAUGAGAAAAACCAGGUUCAGCUGAGUACACUUGUUUACACCUGCUCAGCUGGGCACGUCCAGUUCUCCUCUGGCCAAACGUCUUGUGUAGAGCUGCAGUCUUGGUGCCGGAGGCUUGAUAACGAUGGACAUCCAUCGUAAGAGAAGCUGCAAGCCUGAGUGGGUGUCCGGCGGGUGUUCAGGCUAUGUUGCUGUCAAGUUUAUAAAAGACAAAUGCUGCAGUACAUGACUUUCACUGAACAUCUAGCCCGUCUUACAGCAGAAAACACAAUCCACGAUUUCCUCAUCCUGUCUUCUGACACUACAAAUGAUCUAAAAAUAAUAAAUAUAUAAAAUGGAGACUGUUGCCAAAGAUGC
rnacentral:lncRNA from 1 species